GACAGAGGGUGCAAACGUUGUUCGGAAUUACUGGGCGUAAAGCGCGCGUAGGCGGCUAAUUAAGUCAAAUGUGAAAUCCCCGAGCUUAACUUGGGAAUUGCAUUCGAUACUGGUUAGCUAGAGUGUGGGAGAGGAUGGUAGAAUUCCAGGUGUAGCGGUGAAAUGCGUAGAGAUCUGGAGGAAUACCGAUGGCGAAGGCAGCCAUCUGGCCUAACACUGACGCUGAGGUGCGAAAGCAUGGGGAGCAAACAGGG
rnacentral:rRNA from 1 species